UGCGCAGGCGGUGCUGUAAGACAGGCGUGAAAUCCCCGGGCUCAACCUGGGAAUUGCGCUUGUGACUGCAGUGCUGGAGUACGGCAGAGGGGGAUGGAAUUCCGCGUGUAGCAGUGAAAUGCGUAGAUAUGCGGAGGAACACCGAUGGCGAAGGCAGUCCCCUGGGCCUGUACUGACGCUCAUGCACGAAAGCGUGGGGAGCAAACA
rnacentral:rRNA from 1 species